rnacentral:rRNA from 1 species
UACGGAGGGGGCUAGCGUUGCUCGGAAUCACUGGGCGUAAAGGGUGCGUAGGCGGGUCUUUAAGUCAGGGGUGAAAUCCUGGAGCUCAACUCCAGAACUGCCUUUGAUACUGAAGAUCUUGAGUUCGGGAGAGGUAAGUGGAACUGCGAGUGUAGAGGUGAAAUUCGUAGAUAUUCGCAAGAACACCAGUGGCGAAGGCGGCUUACUGGUCCGGUUCUGACGCUGAGGCGCGAAAGCGUGGGGAGCAAACAGG